CCAUCACUUCUUCUCUAUCUCUUCGUUUAUCUAUCAAUCUAUCUAUCCAUCUCUUCCCUAUCUCUCCCCUUAUCUAUCAAUUUAUCUCUCUAUCUCUCUAUUUAUCUCUCUCUCUGACUAUCUAUCUGUCUAUCUGUCUAGACAUCUAUAUCUUUAUCUCUGUUUCUCUCUCUCUCUCAAUCUCUAUACUGAUGACCUUCGCCAUCACCCCCACCACCACCUCCACCACAAUCGGCUACACUUACCCUCCUCCCCAUCUUCUUUUCCAUCCGAAUUCCAAUAGACAGAUGAAUAAAUGGAUGGAUGGAUGGAUGAUCGGAUGGAAUUUCUCCGUAAACACCAUAUUUAUUCACACACACACAUAUGUAUGUGUGUGUAUGUAUAUAUACAUAUAUAUAUACAUAUGUGUGUGUGUGUAUAUAUAUAUAUAUAUAUAUAUAUAUAUAUAUAUAUAUAUGGGCGUCUGUAUUCAUUUGGUUUCCUGCAUAUUUUCCUUCUCCGACCCCCAAAUCCCCUCCUAAACCAAGAUGGAAUCAAUCAGUGCAUGUUGGAACUGUUUUAUAUUUAUCACACACAAAAUGUAAAACAAAAUUAUUGUCAGUGAUAAAAGAUAAAAAAAAAAAAUUGCCUGUAUAAACGUAUCAAGAUAUAUUAAACAUUACACAUAUUUGCAAACUAUUCACACACACACACACAUACAUACACAUAUACACACACAGAUAUAUCAAUAAUAUAUCACUCAUAUAUACAUCUAUAACUGUGUAACCUUUGAUGGUAGCUAAUAGGUUCAGGCAUAGCUGUGUGGUUAAAAGUAUGCUUCCCAGCCACAUGGUUCUGGGUUCAAUC
rnacentral:lncRNA from 1 species